rnacentral:misc_RNA from 1 species
CACCACUCAAGCCUGGCUUGGUAUUGGGCGUCCGCGGCCGCUUCACGCGACCGCGCGCUCUAAUGUCUUCGGCUGAGCCGUCCGUCUCUAAGCGUUGUGGUCUUUUCAGAUUCGCUUGCGAGGCUGGGCUGGUUCGAUCGCCGUUAAACACCCCUCUUUCAA